AACGAACGCUGGCGGCAUGCCUAACACAUGCAAGUCGAACGAGAACUUCGGGACGAGUGGCGCACGGGUGCGUAACGCGGGGGAACCGGCCCUUAGGUUAUGAAUAACUCCCUGAAAGGGGGGCUAAUACCGGAAAAUGUUGUUGGUCCAAAGAUCUAUCGCCUUUGGAUGGGCCCGCGUGGGAUUAGCUAGUUGGUAGGGUUAAAGCCUACCAAGGCGACGAGCCAUAGCUGGUCUGAGAGGAUGAUCAGCCACACUGGGACGGAGACAGGGCCCAGACUCCUACGAGGGGCGGCAGUGGGGAAUAGUGGACCCUGGGCGAAAGCCUGAUCCAGCAGUGCCGCGUGAGUGAUUAAGGCGUUCGGGUUGUAAAGCUCUUUUACCCGGGAUGAUAAUGACAGUACCGAGAGAAUAAGCACCGGCUAACUCCGU
rnacentral:rRNA from 1 species